rnacentral:lncRNA from 1 species
UUAGUACAGUGCACUGCAUACAGUAAGAACGCAAUAAAUACAAUUGAUUGAUUGACUGAUUGAUUUAUCAUCCCAGGCAUAUCCCAGGUGGCAAAAGCCCUCCAUUGAUUUUUCAUCGCAUCUUGACCAAAGGAAGAAAUAAUUCUAAGGAUCCUGAAAGAAAUUCCAGGACAAGGACGGUGACUGGCAGAGCAACCUCUUCCCCCAUGACAUCAAACGUAGGCAGAGGCUAGUGCUGACCUGGGGUGAACCUUCAAAAAAUCACAUGUUGCUGAAUAAGAGAUAGAAGCAUCUGUAUGAGGUUUUUUCCUGUGAUGAUGUAGAAAGGGAGAGAUGUUAAAAUUUAUUUAAUUCCUGUUUAGUUU